rnacentral:rRNA from 1 species
UCUUGGUCAUUUAGAGGAAGUAAAAGUCGUAACAAGGUUUCCGUAGGUGAACCUGCGGAAGGAUCAUUAAAGAAAUUUAAUAAUUUUGAAAAUGGAUUUUUUUGUUUUGGCAAGAGCAUGAGAGCUUUUACUGGGCAAGAAGACAAGAGAUGGAGAGUCCAGCCGGGCCUGCGCUUAAGUGCGCGGUCUUGCUAGGCUUGUAAGUUUCUUUCUUGCUAUUCCAAACGGUGAGAGAUUUCUGUGCUUUUGUUAUAGGACAAUUAAAACCGUUUCUAUACAACACACUGUGGAGUUUUCAUAUCUUUGCAACUUUUUCUUUGGGCAUUCGAGCAAUCGGGGCCCAGAGGUAACAAACACAAACAAUUUUAUCUAUUCAUUAAAUUUUUGUCAAAAACAAGAAUUUUCGUAACUGGAAAUUUUAAAAUAUUAAAAACUUUCAACAACGGAUCUCUUGGUUCUCGCAUCGAUGAAGAACGCAGCGAAAUGCGAUACGUAAUGUGAAUUGCAGAAUUCCGUGAAUCAUCGAAUCUUUGAACGCACAUUGCGCCCCUUGGUAUUCCAGGGGGCAUGCCUGUUUGAGCGUCAUUUCCUUCUCAAACAUUCUGUUUGGUAGUGAGUGAUACUCUUUGGAGUUAACUUGAAAUUGCUGGCCUUUUCAUUGGAUGUUUUUUUUCCAAAGAGAGGUUUCUCUGCGUGCUUGGGGUAUAAUGCAAGUACGGUCGUUUUAGGUUUUACCAACUGCGGCUAAUCUUUUUUUAUACUGAGCGUAUUGGAACGUUAUCGAUAAGAAGAGAGCGUCUAGGCGAACAAUGUUCUUAAAGUUUGACCUCAAAUCAGGUAGGAGUACCCGCUGAACUUAGGCAUAUCAAUAAGCGGAG